UACAGAGGGUGCUAGCGUUAAUCGGAUUUACUGGGCGUAAAGCGCGCGUAGGUGGUUUGAUCAAUCGGAUGUGAAAGCCCUGGGCUUAACCUGGGAAUUGCAUUCGAUACUGUCUGACUAGAGUUUAGUAGAGGAAGGUAGAAUUCCAGGUGUAGCGGUGAAAUGCGUAGAUAUCUGGAGGAAUACCAGUGGCGAAGGCGGCCUUCUGUACUAAAACUGACACUGAGGUGCGAAAGCGUGGGUAGCAAACAGG
rnacentral:rRNA from 1 species